rnacentral:rRNA from 1 species
AUGCCAGGUCCUCCUCAGCCGGAUCCAUCGCGCGCUGGCUCGCGAGCGGAACGCGUCCAAAACGUCGAGGUGGCCAUCCCCGCGCCUGUCAACACGGCCUACUGGGAGCACUAUCAGCCCGACCUCCUCGGGCACAACGACAACUCCGAUUACAUCUCGUCGGAGUCGGAGUACGACUCUGGCUCCGACGAAGACUCUAGCUACGCCGCCGACUCGUCUUGGUCGACUGGCUGGGAGGAGCCAGAGGUGAUCGUCCUCUUUGACGACGAGCCGGAGGUGCAGAUGGCGACGCCCGUCGUCCCUGAGCCGGAGGUCCAGAUGGUGGCGCCUGUCUCCAGGGAGGGUGACAAGCACCGCCCAAUUGACGUCGACGCGCUUCCAGAUGUUCCUGACAUCGUCAAGAAGGAGGUGGAGGUGGUCUUGGCACUUGAAGCACAUGCAGAGGUGGCUGACAGGAAGACGAACAAGAAUAAGAGGAAGAUGCCUAAAGAAGAUGCAGCUGAUGUUCGCAGGUCAGAGCGCCUGAAGAAGAUGGCCUAA